CGACUUCUCUUCUUCUUUCCAACCGCAAAAAGAAAAAGGGGGGAAACGAACCAGAUCUCUGCCCUCUCUCUCUAUACAGAUCCCAUCUUUUCCUCCCAUCUCCGAUCGCGAAGCGAAGAGGGGAGAGCAACGAGACCUCAGAUCCCAGAUGCAAUCCAACUCAGAUCUCUGCAUCGAACCCUGGAGCGCCUCCCCUCCCACCUCGCCGACGCCCUCUUUCGCCGCCUCCGCCACCGCCACCUCCUCUACACAUCCCUCCUCAAGUUUUUCCAGUUUUGCGUUGAAGAGGUUGAUUUGAGUGGGGAGAGCAUCGUGGAUGCUGAGUGGAUGGCUUAAUUGGGGGGAUUUCAGAAUCUUCGAAUUUUGAAGCUUUCGAAUUGCAGGAGUUUGAAUAUUCGCGCCCCCACUUGUCAUCUGGGUUUUUGAGUCUUGAUGCUCUAGGGUGAAGAUAUUUGGUGUCGAUUGCUUCUGAAGAGAUUUUGAUGGGCGUAAGAAAUCAGUGGUGGUGAUAAUAUAGCAGAAAUUGUAGUGGCAAUAAUCUAACAUGGAAACAAAAUUUUCCCUCUUUUGGAUGGCGAUAUUGGCUUUCUUGCAACUCUCCUCUGCAACUCUUUCACCUUCUGGCAUUAACUAUGAAGGUCAGUAGAUCUUAAGCUUUAAGCUUUUCUGUUUUUAUCAUUGCUUUUUACAUUCUAUAACUGUGGGGAUUUACUAACUAUUUGGUUUACAUCCUGAUAAUUGUUUGAAUAACAGAAGAAUUCUUUCAUUGCAUUAGAAAUGAAAGACAUUGUAGCGUUCUUUUAUUUCUUAAGCAUAAUUUGAACAUUGUGGUCUUCCAAUCUUAGUUAUAUAUCAAAGUUUUUAUUUCUUACAUUGAAUAAAAUUUAAGCAUAAUUUGAACAUUGUGGUCGUUCAAUCUUAGUUAUAUAUCAAAGUUAUAAGAGAGUAAUAUAUGUAAUGUAUUUGGUUUAUGUUUCUUUACUAUUAGUAACUGCAAGCAUUGGAAGCACAUUCUCUUACUUUCUCUUAGACUCUUACUUUUGUUAUGGUUUGUUUAUUCUGAUAGCAAACUUAACCGUGAAAAAAAACAAUGACUAAAAUCCCCAUUUUACCAUCAAGAUAUCAUUGUUUGUAUGUACAAUAUAAGCUAUAUAUUGUUUACAAUUCUUAUAUCCUAUUCAGGGAUAACUAAAUAUAAUUUAUUGUGCAGCCGAGUAUAAGCCAAGCAAAGACAAUCACUUACAGCAAAACCUCCC